GAUAUCGAUGAAUGUGAACUGGACCUCGACGACUGUCAUGCUCAAGCCACGUGCGCAAACACCCAAGGAUCAUACACAUGCACGUGUAACACAGGUUGGACUGGAAAUGGAACUAUUUGCGUUGGUAAGUAAAAUAAUUUUCUUUCUCGUAAAAGCAUCACUAUCUCUCUUUUUGAUGGACAAAUAAACCACUAGUUUCUUCCAAUCAUUGCAUUUGUCGUUAACAAACUCCUUUUUCUAUACUCUCAUGUCGAAAAGAAAGUAAAAUGUUAUGAGUUGUGUAUUCAACCCUUGUAUUUUAGUAGGGCACGUAAAAUGUGUAGAAGAACAAAAAUAUAAAUAAAAAUAGUAUCCUCCACUUUUGCCCAAUUUCUGGACAAGAAGUUUAGUUAAUUGAAGAUCAACUUUCGCUCCAGGAAGAAACUGGAGGGCCCGGAGAAAGCCGAUGACUUUCGGCAGAGCGUUGACUGACUGUUUUGCGUCUUUUCACAUGAGUCCGUAGCGAGAAACGAACCCACGAGCUCAGAAGUGAAACACUGAAGGCCUCGUACAAACUUUCUAUAUUUUGACCAUUUACACUUCGCCGUUGGUUUUCCCUGGGCACCUCAUUCGAAAUACAGACUGAACUAUCAUUACAGUUUCAUCACGCUAGUAACCUUUAACUUUGUUGAACCGUAAAACUAAAUUCUGGAUCAAACGAGGAUGACAGUGCACGAGAAUUGGUAGUCAUGCGAUAUUGGUUAGCUGUUGUUGACACUUUGCCAAAACUUUCAUGUAUUUUUUAAAGUUAAAACCCUGUAACAAUUCGUGGUGGCCGGACAUUUUGCCGAAAGACGCUUUGCCGAAAGACAUUUUGCCGAAAGAUAUUUUGCCGAACGGACAUUUUGCCGACGGACGUUUUGGCGAACGGACGUUUUGCCCAACGGACAUUUUGCCGAGUGUACAUUUUGCCGAACGGACAGUUUGACGAACGGACAUUUUGCCGAAAAUAGAGAUAUCUUCUGAACUUUAAAUGUUCGCUUACACGGUCAAAGUUUCUGUGAUUAAAGUCAUUAAUUGUCUAUUUUGAUAACAGAAACUUUGAUAAUGAACGAUUACGGAAAAUUCGCAAUAUAAAGGAUAAUAUCAUUCAACAUCAUUCAUGAAUGUGAUUUCCCUGAGAACUGUGAAUGUAUUCCAUGAUUCUGGAAGUGAAAUUCGCUUACGUCGUAUAUAUACGGUUGUUUGUUUACGAUCUGACGUCAAAACACGUUCCUAAGAAAUGAGUUAUCCGCUGGACAAACAAGCUACCAACAUGGUUAUGCAUUGCUAACAACCAUUAUGCACUGCUAAUGACCAUUACAGUAUGCACUGCUAAUGACCAUAUAAUGGUUAUUUUACACAAUGGUUGAGAAUUACACAGUUGAGAAAUGAGUCACAGUCCCAAACAUUUUGACGAAAUAACAUCUUUAUUUUCGGCAAGUUGUCCUUUCGGCAAACUGUCCGUUGGGCAAAAUGACCGUCGGCAGAAUGUCCGUUCGGCAAAAUGUCUGUCGGUAAAGUGUCUUUCGGCAAAGUGUCUUUCGGCAAAAUGUCCGGGUACCACAAUUCGUGACUUCCAAUUCUUAUCACCCCUCAUUCGAGUUCAACGGGGGCUACGGAAGGUUAACUUAAGUUCGUUCUCUAAUAUAAUCGAUCAUUAAUACUAUAGGCUUAAAUUUUAACAUAUCUCUACUAUCUCUAUCUUCAGAUAUCGAUGAAUGUGACCUGGACCUCGACGACUGUCAUGCUCAAGCCACGUGCGCAAACACCCAAGGAUCAUACACAUGCACGUGUAACAUAGGUUGGACUGGAAAUGGAACUAACUGCGUUG
rnacentral:lncRNA from 1 species